AUGAUAAUACCAGCUGCUUUAAGAGUCAUCUCUGACCAUUCCUUCUUCAUCAUUCAUUACAAAUCAAUGACUAAUUUUGUCAUCAUACUUUCUAGAUAUUCUGAAAACCAUCUUUUCUCCAUUUUUACCACCAUCAUUUCUUAUCUAAGCUACUGCAACAGUCUUCUUUUAAAAAGGGCAAAUCUGUUUAUAUCAUUGUCAAUGCCUAUAUUAAAGCUGUCCAUUGAACUGGGGAUAAAGUCCAAAAUCCUUAAUACGGUCUACAAGGUCUUAUAUGUUCUGACCCCUAUCUGUGUUUCUACCUUCAUUCUAUGUUCUUUUCUCCCACUUUUCUCUCCUCGGCUGACAUGCUAGUUUCCCAUCAGUGCUUCAAUGCAUCAUACUCUCUCCUCUUUCACACCUAUUUCUCCUCCACUCCCCUAGCAAUCUCUACCCCUCACCUAACUACUCGUAUUUGUCUUUUCAGGUUUCAGCUGAAUUGAAAGCAAAAUUGACUAGUUCUUCUUCUAUACAUUCACAUUAUGCCCCAUUCUCAUCCUUUGUAACACUCCUCACUUUUAUAUUGUCUACCUUAACUAAUUGUCUAUAAGUUCCAGGGGCUAUACCUGCCAUGCUUAUCAAUGUAUUAUUAGUGCAUAGUAUAGUAUCUGACAAAUUUAGGCAAUAAAAUAUAUAUUAAUUCAUUCAUACAGUGAUAGGUCCGCUUCACCUUUAUUUCUGCCAAGUCGUCCUUGACUCAUUCAAGCAGAAUUGGUAACUUUCAUAUUAAUAUAACCACUAUACAGGGGAUCCCUGGGUGGCUCAGCGGUUUAGCGCCUGCCUUUGGCUCAGGGCAUGAUCCUGGAGACCUGGGAUCGAGUCCCACAUCGGGCUCCCUGCAUGGAGCCUGCUUCUCCCUUUGCCUGUGUCUCUGCCUCUCUCUCUCUCUCUCUCAUGAAUAAAUAAAAUAUUAAAUAUAUAUAUAUAUAUAUAUAUAUAUAUAUAUAUAUAACCACUAUACCAAAGAUACUAUCUGUAUCUUAUUUCUCUUUGUGCCCCUAGCACUUCACUUGGUGUCUGGAACAAAAUGAAUGCUCAAUCUAUGCUUAUAGAAUUGAACUAACAGAGACUUUGCCAACUGGCUGGAUAUGAGAUCUGAAGGAAUAUAGAAAGUCAAAGAUAAACUCUGAAGGGUGGGCUAGCCUUUAACACAAAUGGAAAAGUUGGUAAAGGAAGGUGGUUUAGAAAGUAAAUAUAUGCAGUUCUGAGCAUAGGUAUUGAUAGUGUAGUGACAGAGGGGAGAGUUUAUACAAAAAGUCAUUAAAGCCCUUUCACAAAGAUGGCGCCAAAGGCGAAGAAGGAAGCCCCUGCCCCUCCCAAAGCUGAAGCCAAAGCAAAGACUUUGAAAGCUAAGAAAGUGGUGCUGAAAGGCAUGCACAGUCACACACACACAAAAAAGAAGAAGAUCCAUACGUCACCUACAUUCCAACGACCCAAGACCCUGUGUCUCCAAAGGCAGCGCAAAUAUCCUCGAAAGAGCACCCCCAGGAGAAACAAGCUUGAUCACUAUGCCAUCAUCAAGUUCCCCCUGACUACUGAGUCAGCCAUGAAGAAAAUAGAAGACAACAACACACUUGCGUUCAUUGUGGAUGUCAAGGCCAAAUAAGCACCAGAUCAAACAGGCUGUGAAGAAGCUCUAUGACAUUGAUGUGGCCAAGGUCAACACCUUGAUCAGGCCUGAUGGAGGGAAGAAAGCAUAUGUUUGACUGGCUCCUGACUAUGAUGCUUUGGAUGCUGCCAACAAAACUGGGGUCAUCUAAACUGAGUCCAGCUGGCUAUCAAUAUAAAUAUAAAUUUUUCACCACAAAAAAAAAAAAGUCAGUAAAGCCAUGGAGUCCUGAAAUGGCAACAUGAAGAUAAUUCCCGAGGUUGGAAGCAGUCUGCUGGAGCCAGAGAAGGCUAACGGAUGGGAUACAUUCUAAUUUGCCUAGGACAAUCCCAGUUUACACCUAUUAUCCUAACAUAAUAAUUGAUGGUGCUGCCGCCUUGUAUGCUUAAAAGUGUCCAAAUAAAUUAGGCGUACCCAGUUGGCUCAGUUGGUAAAGCAUGCAACUCUUGACCUCAGGGUCUUGAAUCAAGCCCCAUGUUGGCCAUACAGCUUACUUAAAAAAAAAAAAAAAAAAAAAAAAGUGCCCAAUAAACUAUAUGACCAGCCAACCAGAAGACCAUGUGAAUUUGGAAAAGUUAAGUGAGUUAAGGGCAAGAACAUUUAGGACAAGAGCAGAGCAAGAAAUUACAGUGAUUUCGAGUUGUAGAUAGUGAAGGAAUGUACUGAAUUGAAUGACAUUUUAUAAAGAGCUAUGAAAUGAACUAGCUACCAUUUCUGGAUGGACAAUGUCACAAAAACCCUGAUAGGUAGGCAUUUCCAUCCAUAUUUUAUAGAUAAAAUAAUCAAAGCUUAGAUUAAACACCCACUCAGAAAAUUAGCUAAAAUAUAGCUUAAUAAGUAAAAUACAGUGACUUUUCCUCACUCAUAGCCAUCUUAGCAGCUGCUCUUGGUUGGGGCCUGCUCAAAACCUAAGGCAGAGGGAUCCCUGGGUGGCGCAGCGGUUUGGCGCCUGCCUUUGGCCCAGGGCGCGAUCCUGGAGACCCGGGAUCGAAUCCCACAUCGGGCUCCCGGUGCAUGGAGCCUGCUUCUCCCUCUGCCUAUGUCUCUGCCUCUCUCUCUCUCUCUCUCUCUGUGACUAUCAUAAAUAAAUAAAAAUUAAAAAAAAAUUCUUAAAAAAAAAAUUCUUAAAAAAAAAAAAAACCUAAGGCAGGAAAUACAGUGGAUGCAUAGAAGGUGAAAAGGCCACUGGAAUCUUUCUACUCUGGGCUCCAACUCAUCAUGAAAAGUGGAAAGUAUGUGUUGGGGUACAAGCAGAAUCUGAAAAUAAUCAGAGAUGGCAAAAGCAACACUGAUCAUCCUUGCCAACAACUGCCCAGCUUUGAGGAAAUCUGAAAUAGAGUAUUAAGCCAUGUUGGCCAAACCUGGUGUCCAUCAUCAGUACAGUGGCAAGACUAUUGAAUUGGGUUUAGAAUGUGGGAAAUACUGUGGAGUAUGCACACUGGUUAUCAUUAAUCCAGGUGAUUCUGAUAUCAUUAGAAGCAUGUCAGAACAGACUGGUGAAAAGCAAAACAUGAAAAAUCUCUCUCUAAUAAAAUUGGCCAGAGCUUGUUUGUUUGUUUGUUUGUUUGUUUUUAAAGAUUUUAUUUAUUUAUUCAUGAGAAUACACAGAGAGGAGAGAGAGAGAGAGGCAGAGACACAGGCAGAGAGAGAAGCAGGCUCCCUGCAGGGAGCCUGACAUGGGACUGGAUCCCUGGUCUCCAGGAUCACACCAGGGACUGAAGGCGGCGCUAAGCCGCUGAGCCACCCCGGCUGCCCCAGAGCUUUUUUGGAAAAAAAAAAAAAAAAAGUAAAACCUAGCUAGAGAGCAAAACUAACUAAAUAUAAAUGAAUAAUUGAAAAAAGAAGUCAAAGGGGGAAAUAUCUGGAAGUCACAAGAAGUCCCUUCUCCAAUAACUUGUAAGCAUCUUGAGUGGGAAAGGAAAAAUAAAGCAUUGAUAUGGUAACUUCCCCAUAAAGGAGGGUAACCACUGCUACCAAGAUCCUUCACUAUAACUUGCAAAAUUACUGCUCACUAUUUUCUGAAGUAGCUUCAUUGAAAACCAUCCUUCUUUCCCCAAGAGACAAGUAAUUCCAGGAAGUAACUUUUUAAAUAAAGACUUUAUUUAU
rnacentral:lncRNA from 1 species